AUUGAACGCUGGCGGCAUGCCUUACACAUGCAAGUCGAACGGUAACAGGUUAAGCUGACGAGUGGCGAACGGGUGAGUAAUGUAUCGGAACGUGCCCAGUCGUGGGGGAUAACUACUCGAAAGAGUGGCUAAUACCGCAUACGACCUGAGGGUGAAAGCGGGGGACCGUAAGGCCUCGCGCGAUUGGAGCGGCCGAUAUCAGAUUAGCUAGUUGGUGGGGUAAAAGCCAACCAAGGGGAAGAUCUGUAGCUGGUCUGAGAGGACGAGCAGCCACACUGGGACUGAGACACGGCCCAGACUCCUACGGGAGGCAGCAGUGGGGAAUUUUGGACAAUGGACGCAAGUCUGAUCCAGCCAUGCCGCGUGCGGGAAGAAGGCCUUCGGGUUGUAAACCGCUUUUGUCAGGGAAGAAACGAGUUUCUCUAAUACAGAGACUUAAUGACGGUACCUGAAGAAUAAGCACCGGCUAACUACGUGCCAGCAGCCGCGGUAACAC
rnacentral:rRNA from 1 species